GAUAAACGCUAGCGGCGUGCUUAACACAUGCAAGUCGAACGAGAACGGAAUAUAGCUUGCUAUAUUUGUCAGCUAAGUGGCGCACGGGUGAGUAAUAUAUAGAUAACCUGCCCUUAAGAAAGGAAUAACAGUUGGAAACGACUGCUAAUGCCCUAUAUGCCUUUAAUACAUAAGUAUGCAAGGGAAACGCUCUAGUGCUUAAGGAUGGGUCUGUAUGGUAUCAGCUUGUUGGUGAGGUAAUGGCUCACCAAGGCUAUGACGCCUAACUGGUUUGAGAGGAUGAUCAGUCACACUGGAACUGAGACACGGUCCAGACUCCUACGGGAGGCAGCAGUGGGGAAUAUUGCACAAUGGACGAAAGUCUGAUGCAGCAACGCCGCGUGGAGGAUGACACAUUUCGGUGCGUAAACUCCUUUUAUAUAGGAAGAUAAUGACGGUACUAUAUGAAUAAGCACCGGCUAACUCCGUGCCAGCCGCCGCGGUAAUAC
rnacentral:rRNA from 1 species